AUUUCUUCUUUAAGCCCUGUCAUCCGAAGACAUCUCCUCGGAGCACCGUGGUGACACCAGGCUCCCCGUGCUCCUGCUCUGGGUAUGCUGUGAGCUGUGAUUCACUCUGCUCCUGAGUCAUGUGUGAAGGCCAGUUCAACAGGCUGUCAGAGCAUCUUACCAGAGUAAACAACUUUGCAAGCAAAGCUUGAAGCACUGGUCAGAUUUUGCCAUCCCACUUUCACAGCCACAUUGGGAAAGGAGGAUUCCUCCCCCCUGAACUACCGUGGAUGGAGCUGCACACUGCAAAGCAAGAGAGAUGCAUCUCAUCAAUGGGCUUGGGACUCUGGUUAGCUCCAGCUGAACUGCAGAUGAGUUUCCCUGGGCAGCCCCUGUGAGACACUGGCCACGGUGAAGAGGUGACUGUAACAUAAGGAUGGUGACUGCAAAACCCCAGAAAGUUCCUUUUCAUCCCAAUUUUCUACAUGGCUUGAUGUAUAAAUCUAGGGUC